CCACUUGAAGAUGAAGAAUUGAUCGCGUACAUGUUACGCGGCCUCGGUCCAGACUACGAUCCACUGGUGACAAGUAUCACCACGCGUGCUGAUUCGUACUCCGUCAGUGACGUAUAUGCACACAUGUUGAGCUAUGAGA